AGGACGAACGCUGGCGGCGUGCCUAACACAUGCAAGUGGAGCGACGACCCGGGCUUCGGCCCGGUGCAAAGCCGCGAACGGGUGAGUAACACGUGGGUAACCUGCCCUGAUGAUUGGGACAACCCGAGGAAACUCGGGCUAAUACCGAAUGUGCCCUCCGGCCAUAAGGCCGCUGGGGAAAGGAAGCUUCGGCCUCCGCAUCGGGAUGGGCCCGCGGCCCAUUAGCUUGUUGGUGAGGUAACGGCUCACCAAGGCAACGAUGGGUAGCUGGUCUGAGAGGACGAUCAGCCACACUGGGACUGAGACACGGCCCAGACUCCUACGGGAGGCAGCAGUGGGGAAUCUUGCGCAAUGCGCGAAAGCGUGACGCAGCAACGCCGCGUGGGGGAAGACGGCCUUCGGGUUGUAAACCCUUUCAGUUGGACGAAGCUCCGUCGGUGAAUAGCCGGCUGGAGUGACGGUACCUUCAGAAGAAGCUCCGGCCAACGUACGUGCCAGCCAGCCGCGGUAA
rnacentral:rRNA from 1 species